CACGAAGGGGGCAAGCGUUGUCCGGAUUUAUUGGGCGUAAAGAGCGCGUAGGCGGCUAUGUAGGUCCGGUGUGAAAACUCGAGGCUCAACCUCGAGACGUCGAUGGAAACCAUCUAGCUAGAGUCCGGAAGAGGAGAGUGGAAUUCCUGGUGUAGCGGUGAAAUGCGCAGAUAUCAGGAAGAACACCCGUGGCGAAGGCGGCUCUCUGGGACGUGACUGACGCUGAGACGCGAAAGCGUGGGGAGCGAACAGG
rnacentral:rRNA from 1 species